rnacentral:tRNA from 1 species
AGGGGUUUAGGCUAAUUCUAGACCAAGAGCCUUCAAAGCUCUCAGUGGAGGUUAUAUCCCUUCAACCCUUG